GAUGAACGCUGGCGGCGUGCCUAACACAUGCAAGUCGAACGAGGCACCUUACCUGAUUCUUCGGAUGAAAGUUUGGUGACUGAGUGGCGGACGGGUGAGUAACGCGUGGGUAACCUGCCCUGUACAGGGGGAUAACAGCUGGAAACGGCUGCUAAUACCGCAUAAGCGCACGAGGAGACAUCUCCUUGUGUGAAAAACUCCGGUGGUACAGGAUGGGCCCGCGUCUGAUUAGCUGGUUGGCAGGGUAACGGCCUACCAAGGCAACGAUCAGUAGCCGGUCUGAGAGGAUGAACGGCCACAUUGGAACUGAGACACGGUCCAAACUCCUACGGGAGGCAGCAGUGGGGAAUAUUGCACAAUGGGGGAAACCCUGAUGCAGCAACGCCGCGCGAGUGAAGAAGUAUUUCGGUAUGUAAAGCUCUAUCAGCAGGGAAGAUAAUGACGGUACCUGACUAAGAAGCUCCGGCUAAAUACGUG
rnacentral:rRNA from 1 species